UCUAGAGGCUUCGGCAAUGGACGAAAGUCUGACCGAGCGACGCCGCGUGAGCGAUGAAGGCCUUCGGGUCGUAAAGCUCUUUCGACGGGGAAGAAGGCGUUGGAGGCGACCCUCCAGCGAUUGACGGUACCCGUAGAAGAAGCCCCGGCUAACUCCGUGCCAGCAGCCGCGGUAAUACGGAGGGGGCAAGCGUUAUUCGGAAUCAUUGGGCGUAAAGAGUGCGUAGGCGGGGCGCUAUGUCUGGCGUGGAAUUUUUCGGCUCAACCGGAAAAAGCCGGCGGUAACUGGCGGCCUCGAGGAGGGUAGAGGGUGGAGGAAGUCCAGGUGGAGCGGUGGAAUGAGUAGAUAUCUGGAAGAAGAUCUGUGGCGAAGGCGGCUAGCUGGGCGCGUACUGACGCUGAGGAACGAAAGCCAGGGGAGCAAACGGG
rnacentral:rRNA from 1 species